GAAAUGCGAUAAUUAAUGUGAAUUGCAGGAUUCAGUGAAUCAUCGAGUCUUUGAACGCACAUUGCGCCCCCUGGUAUUCCGGGGGGCAUGCCUGUCCGAGCGUCAUUGCUGCCCUCAAGCACGGCUUGUGUGUUGGGCUUCCGUCCCUGGCAACGGGGACGGGCCCAAAAGGCAGUGGCGGCACCAUGUCUGGUCCUCGAGCGUAUGGGGCUUUGUCACCCGCUCCCGUAGGUCCAGCUGGCAGCUAGCCUCGCAACCAAUCUUUUUAACCAGGUUGACCUCGGAUCAGGUAGGGAUACCCGCUGAACUUAAGC
rnacentral:misc_RNA from 1 species